UACGUAGGGGGCCAGCGUUGCUCGGAAUUACUGGGCGUAAAGGGUCCGUAGGCGGUGCGGCAAGUCGAGAGUGAAAUCCCUAGGCUUAACCUAGGGGCUGCUAGCGAAACUGCCGUGCUAGAGUGUGAGAGAGGCGAGUGGAAUUCCUGGUGUAGCGGUGAAAUGCGCAGAUAUCAGGAGGAACACCAAUGGCGAAGGCAGCUCGCUGGGACGUGACUGACGCUGAGACGCGAAAGCGUGGGGAGCAAACAG
rnacentral:rRNA from 1 species